rnacentral:lncRNA from 1 species
AUGCACACCGAAUGCAUAUCGCAGGCUAAUUAUAAUUUCCCUGCAGAUGCCAAUCAGAACAAGUUAAAGCCAUUGAGAGGAGGAGAAAAAAAAUGCAUCUGUGGUUUGCAAGGGCAACCAAGAGAGAGAGAAAGAAGAGAAAAAAGAUCCCUUCUGGCCUAUGCUCAACUGCUGUAUGCCCCUCAGCUGAAAUGGAAAGCAAAUAUUCCCAGAAUCUGUUCAAUUCAAACAAACGAGUUGGCCAGCACCAGCCUUAGGGAAAGAGUUAACUGGAACGGUAGGAAUAAUUCCAGUGGCUGGAUAGAUGGGUCCUUGUGUCUCCUCUGGAGCCCAGCUCGCGUCUCCCCCUCGAUCUACAGGCCAUGCUCCUACUCGUGUUCUUCUCCACAAGCAUUUUCCUGCCUGAAAGUUGCAGUUCAUGAUCCUCCAGGGAUCCAGUGCAGCCAACAGCCCUUAUUCAGCAAAUGAACCAAGCUGAAAUACUUGCUCAGCUUCCACCAGGUUUGAUCAGAUUGAAGGAGGGGAGGGGUAGAAGUUAAUAGGGAUGGAAAGCAUCUGUCUUAUUUCUCCUUUUCUGAAGAGGAGUCAGAGCUGUUGCCUUUCCACGUGACUCCUGUGUUUUUUAUAGACCCAAAGUGGGAAAGUGUCUGUGCGUUAAGUCCCAAGAUCAAUCACAGCACAAGAUAACAUUUAAAAUAACUGCACCUAUUUUUGUUUGCAUUUCGGUCACUCCUACAAGGUCACUACUUGAAUCCCUACCUUUUGCAGGGCAUGUCAGCUCUUGCAGCUCCUUCCAUACGUCAGGGUGCAUGUCCAGCAAAGUCCCAGCCUGCCUACCACAAGCUUUGCUCUUUAACCCUACAAAGAGAUGUUUUCCUCCUAGGUUCAACCUCUGUUCCCACCCUACAUCCUCUCACAGCCCAUCUUUAUCAGAUGACAAACCUGGGUGCCUUAAGAACAAGGACAAGGGUAACGGCAGCCUGUUUGUUUAGAAAUUAGAGUCAGGUUUGCAGAAGGAUUAGACACAGUUCCACUGAACUGCACAUGGCCUGCUAAGAACUCGUCCUUGCAUUAAGCACAAAAAAAAUGUACGCUUCAGUUAGAGAAGCAAAUGCAUUGGAGAUUCCUUAUUAAUCACCCUUGCACAGCUGCCAGCUUCUGCCAGACCACACGAAAAAAUGAUUCACAAAGCUCUGCACCUUCUCUUACCUCCCCACUCACCCACACACGCUUCCCUGCAAAGGGAAAUCCUCAGCCUCACACACGUCUGGAUACAUCAGAACUCAAAGACCUCCUUUUCCUUCAGAAGUGUCUGUGUGGGAUCAUCAGCUGCAUCCAGGGCCCUGGUCCCAAGCUUGAGAAAAGGGAUCAGACUUCACCAAGAGCAACGCAGCUGCAUGUGCUUACAGCAGCAGAGAAUUUGGGCUGAGGCCCAGAUCUUCAAAGGGACUGAAUUGCCUAAUUUCUAUUGAAAUAACUUGGGGUUAGACACCUAAAUACUUUUGAAAAGCCAGGUCUGAUUUUUUUUUUUUUUGAAUUAAAAAACGUAAGCCCAGACAAAAUGAGCAUUAAAAAGUCUUAAUGGGCUAUUCUGUAGUAGUACUUCUAAUGGUUAUUGCUCUUGACUGGCUAAUAAAUUAUAUUUUUAUUUGCCA